UCGCCUGUUUUAUCAAAAACAUCUCAUCUUGAAUAAUUUAGAUGUAGGCUCUGCUCAGUGAUUUUUUAAAUAGCCGCAGUAUCUUGACUGUGCUAAGGUAGCAUAGUAAUUUGUCCUAUAAUUGAGGGCUGGUAUGAAAGAGUUGAUGUUUUCUAUGCUUUCUUAUUUAAACAAACUAAACUUGAUAUUCACGUCAAAAAGCGUGAAUAAUUAAAGGGACGAUAAGACCCUAUAAAGCUUUACUAAUUAAAAAGUUGCAUAAAUUGAUUUUUUUUUACUUAAAUUUUAAGUUAAGCUGGGGCGGCAUCUACAUAUCAAUAAGAAAUUUUAACACUAAUAAUUGGUUAGAAAGUUCUUUAUUAAAGAUAGAUUAAGCUACUUUAGGGAUAACAGCACAAUUUUCUCGAAUAGACCUUAUAAAUGAGAAAGACUUGUGACCUCGAUGUUGAAUUGAGGGGCCCAUCUUAAGCAGAAAUAAGAUAGGGAGGUCUGUUCGACCUUUAAUACCUCACGUGAUCUG
rnacentral:rRNA from 1 species